GUUUGUUUUUCUUUUUCUUUUGGUGGGAAAAUAAUUGAAUCUUUUUGUUAAUUUUUUUCUCUAAUUAGUUAAUUGGUUUUAAUUUUUUCUUCUUCUAAUUAAUUGCUCAUAUCGUUGAUCUAUUCAUCAAUUGAGUGGUCAUAAUAAUGAUGUUAAUAAGUAAUAAUAGUAUAAAGUGAUAUUUAUUCAGUAUUUAAUCAGGUGAAAGAAGUGAUUGUUAAGGUUUCACAUCGAUUACCGAAUUAGUUGGGUGAAUCCUUACGUAUUAAUCAUCAUCAAUACAAACACACACACACACACACAUGAGACACAUGUAGUUACAUAUACUCGAUGGGCAUAUCUAUGUGUAGGUAUGUUGUUGUAUUUAUCCAAUAAUAUGACAACUACAAAAGGUAAAAUGUUAUUAUGAGCCUAAAGGCUAUCCAAUAAUAAUGUUAUUAAGUGAAAGGAGCAAAGUGUAUAUUCAACUUGAAUUAGAUUGUUGGAUAAUCAAGACGAUCAAGACUGAUUCUGUUUGCCAUUCCCUGGAUUCCAGGAUCAAGGAUUGAUUUCCACAUUGGUUAUAUCUAAUAAUCAGUCGAUAGGAUGAUGAUUUUAAAGCGAAUCGCCAAUCAUAUGAACUCUUAACUUACCACUUAAUUCAACAAUCAAAUUUGAUCGAUUGUGACUAUUAGAUUGACAAACAAGAUGACACUUGAAUGAUAAUUGGAAUCUUGUAUUUCUAUUAAAUCAUUACAAUAGUUUUUUUCUGUAUAUCAACAGAUAGGCAGCUCUAUAUGUGUAGUUUACCUUUAACCUCGAGUUAUAGUUGAUCAUUUUCAAGUGAUUUUAUCAUUAUUUGAUUAGCUUAUUAGUUAGUAUUCAAUUGGUGUUUUAACCAACAAUCACCAAAUGAUUAGUUGUCAUGUUAAUUUAAGAGUAUUUUUGAUUUACUCUUGAAUCAAUUUCUAACUAAAAGUUGUCUUUUCUUUGUCAAUCUAAUUUCGUAUAUAUAGAUUUCCAAUUGAAUCAAUUCCAUAGGUUUUAAUCAAAAUUGAUUGUUGUCUUUUUGCCUUUCGAUUGAUUUUUUUAAAAUCAACUGUUAUUGACACCACAACAACAACAACAAUCAUUAAAAACCUUCAAGUGUUGAUUGUUAAUCAAUUUUCAUGUUAAUCAGUUCAACUCUUGAAUUGAUGAGAUUUCAUUCAUCUUUACAAUUCCCUUGUUGAUCAUUAUUAACAGAUAAUUAAAUUGAUCGUCAAUCAAAUUAUGACCAAUGUAUGUGUGUGUGUGUGUGUUGAUUGUUGAUUUUAAACGUGAUGAUAAUAUUUAAUUGUCGCCAAAUCAACCAAACCAUUUCAAUCAAUUCAAAUGAAAUUAAUUGAAAAUCAUAAUUAUUGAUACUUUUCCCUUAAUUUAGUUAAUAAUCUAAUAAUUAAUCUAUCUUUUUUUUUUCUUACAAUUAACAAAUGUUAAUUGUUAUAAUUGUUAAAUUGGCCAAUCGUCUAAUCUAAUCUCUAGAAAUUAAUAAUUACCUCUUAAUUUCUAAUUAAAAUCAAUGUAAUUAAAAAAAAUAUAAUUUUUAUGUUACAUGUUAUUAGUUUAAAACUUAAUUAAUAUUUGAAAGUUAAUUAAGUCAACUAUUAAUACAUAUUAAUGAAUUGUUUUUGAUUUAUUUAGCCACCAAUGAAAUCUGUAAAGUGUUAAUUAUGUUUAAUUGCAGGUUAAAUAAUCAACCAUCAUUGAAGAAUCAGUAAAAGUGAUUAACAUUACAUCAAAUGUUUCCAUUUGCAAAAAGAAAGAUAAACAUUCUGAUCACUAUUAGUUGAUUAACCAUCGACAAUUUAACUGACCAAAUUAAAUUAUUGAUAAAUCGAACCGAUAAAAAAAAAAUUUAACAAUGAACACAAUUAGUUUUAAUUACUUUUAUAUCUUUGUUUUUGUUUUGUUCAGUUUUACAGUUACAAUGAUU